rnacentral:rRNA from 1 species
CAGUAGCCGCGGUAAUACGUAGGUGGCAAGCGUUGUCCGGAAUUAUUGGGCGUAAAGGGCUCGCAGGCGGUUUCUUAAGUCUGAUGUGAAAGCCCCCGGCUCGACCGGGGAGGGUCAUUGGAAACUGGGAAACUUGAGUGCAGAAGAGGAGAGUGGAAUUCCACGUGUAGCGGUGAAAUGCGUAGAGAUGUGGAGGAACACCAGUGGCGAAGGCGACUCUCUGGCCUGUAACUGACGCUGAGGAGCGAAAGCGUGGGGAGCGAACAGGAUUAGAUACCCGGGUAGUCCCUGUCUCUUAUAC